UGACUGAAAAAAAAAGAAUAAGAUGUAGUUACAAAAAAAAUAGUGGAUAUCCAUACAUAUCCAGCUGCAGAGUUGAAGCUCUGGAAAGAGGAUAGAAGGAAUAUCAUCCUGAAAAUGAUACCUGUGCU